rnacentral:rRNA from 1 species
GUGCUUAACACAUGCAAGUCGAACGGUAAGGCCUUUCGGGGUACACGAGUGGCGAACGGGUGAGUAACACGUGGGUGAUCUGCCCUGCACUUCGGGAUAAGCUUGGGAAACUGGGUCUAAUACCGGAUAUGACCAUGGACUUCACGGUUUGUGGUGGAAAGCUUUUGCGGUGUGGGAUGGGCCCGCGGCCUAUCAGCUUGUUGGUGGGGUAAUGGCCUACCAAGGCGACGACGGGUAGCCGGCCUGAGAGGGUGACCGGCCACACUGGGACUGAGAUACGGCCCAGACUCCUACGGGAGGCAGCAGUGGGGAAUAUUGCACAAUGGGCGCAAGCCUGAUGCAGCGACGCCGCGUGAGGGAUGACGGCCUUCGGGUUGUAAACCUCUUUCAGUAGGGACGAAGCGCAAGUGACGGUACCUAUAGAAGAAGGACCGGCCAACUACGUGCCAGCAGCCGCGGUAAUACGUAGGGUCCGAGCGUUGUCCGGAAUUACUGGGCGUAAAGAGCUCGUAGGUGGUUUGUCGCGUUGUUCGUGAAAUC